AAUGCAUGAGUGUAAGACGAUCCGGAACUCCAUAGUGCUGCCGCGAGAUGAAAAAGGUCAUUUUAAUAUAGAAAUAUGAUGUAUUUUUGGAUCUGGUAUAUUAGUUCUCUGAACAUACACAGUCUCUUGUUAAGUAACGAGUGAUGGAAAUAUUGUUCUCCUCUAUUGAUGCUGUUUGGAAGGAAAGGGAUAACGAAGUCCGUCAGCUUUGUAGCAGCAGUGCCUUUCUUAUCUCACAUCUUGCAAAGUAGCAAUGUUUCUUUCACUGUUUCACACCAAGAGGGAAGCAAACUGGCUAGGCAAUUGCUUGCUGCAAAGCAAAGCUUAUUUUCUAGGUUCACUACUCUUCUUGUGAAGCUCUGCCUUUAUACCUAGCGGCGUUGAUGAUGAUACUCUAUCCAGCAGGCAUUAGGUUUAGGUUUUGUUUGCAUCAACUAAGAUUCGGAACUGUCAAGCUGUCCCCAACUUUUUGGCCAUGCUGCAAUGAGUUCAUUUGGUUCUUCAAAGUUCUUGACGGUAUGGUUGGAAUCUACAAUCCUGCUUGGUGUUCGGUGUUACGCUGGCUUGACACUGCCUGCUUUGACUCCCGGUCUGAUUCUGAAUGCUUUUGUUGCUCGUGAAUUUGUUGCUUCGGCCUUUAACUCUAGUAUCAUUGAUCUGCCUUUUGCUACACUGUGCAGAGAACCCCUGGAUAAGGGCAAUUUGCAUAUCACGACGCCAUGUUUAGAGAGGUUGUUACGACGAAGAAUCUCAUUUUGUGGGGAUUUGUUUGAAGUUUGAACAAUUCCUCUUUUCAUUUUAGGCGAGUAUCUUAAAUUUACCCCUAGAUUUAUGUCAG